rnacentral:rRNA from 1 species
CCCCAGCGCGAACUUACAAUGCCGGCAACGGCGAUAAGGGGACCUCGAAGUGCCAGGUUACAAAUCUGGCUGUCGUGAUGCCUAAAAAGCAUUGCAUAGCAAGGGCCGGGCAAGACCGGUGCCAGCCGCCGCGGUAACACCGGCGGCUCGAGUGGUAACCGUUAUUAUUGGGUCUAAAGGGUCUGUAGCCGGCCGGAUAAGUCUCUUGGGAAAUCUGGCAGCUUAACUGUCAGGCUUUCAGGAGAUACUGUCUGGCUCGAGGCCGGGAGAGGUGAGAGGUACUUCAGGGGUAGGGGUGAAAUCUUGUAAUCCUUGAAGGACCACCAGUGGCGAAGGCGUCUCACCAGAACGGACCUGACGGCAAGGGACGAAAGCUAGGGGCACGAACCGGAUUAGAUACCCGGGUAGUCCUAGCCGUAAACGAUACUCGCUAGGUGUCGGCCACGGUGCGACCGUUGUCGGUGCCGUAGGGAAGCCGUGAAGCGAGCCACCUGGGAAGUACGGCCGCAAGGCUGAAACUUAAAGGAAUUGGCGGGGGAGCMCACAACGGUGGAGCUUGCGUUAUAUGGGCCACC